GCUGCUUUCAGAAAUAUUUAUUAGAUUUUUUUUCUCUUGAAGCCAGCUUCUUCAACUGUCAUAGAAAAAUCAUUUGCACAGAAUUUGCAUCUUCUUUCACCAAUUAAAAUAUUCAGGUACAAACAGGAAAAUCUGCAUAUAUAACAUUAUAAAUGUAGCACAGCCAAAAGUCUGAUAUCAGCUGUAAUACGAUGAAGUUAAUGUGUUAAUUGAGCUGUUUGUGUCACAAAAUCUUCUGCUGAGUCAAACAAAAUGAAACCUUUGUUUAAAUCUGUUAGCUGAACUGUUACCGGAGUUGUUUUUGUGAACAGUAAGGCUUCAACGAGAAAACCACCUCACACAUUGCACCAGAACCCGUUCAUGCACCACAACGCUCGCUGAGAGGCUGAAAGGCUUCAGACUAAAUAUCAUCAACUGAUGUUUAUAUCAUCCGUAUGGGCAAAUCCAGCAGGCACAUGAAACCAGACGAUAUAAACAUCACCGAGUGUUCUUUCUGUGCCGAGGCAGUGCUGACUUAAAUUUAGAAAGACGAUGACAUGGAAGAAACUAUCUUAAAAUAUAUUAACUAAAAAAUAAAAUCUUAUCUGUUUCUUUAUAUUGCAUAGACAAGUGAUCCUUCGUCGCCCUGCAGUGCAAACCUGAGGGCCGUUUAACACACGUACCAGACUUAUACAUUCACAGUUGUCCCUCAUAUUCCCUGAAAAUAAACCAUAUAUUUUCCUCCCAGUAAACACACAUCCCUUUAAUGAACAGCAUAAACCACACCUGGACUGUACACCUCAUUCAUCCUAGAUAAAACAAGACACCACGAGGAUUAACAAACACAAAAUGAAUCAAAAACACAAUAAAAACCACAACAUUGUUCAGUAAAACGGUUGGUGACCUCAUCACACGGGCAAUUUUGGUGAAGGUGACUGGCUUCUACCGAGGGCAAGACUCAUCUGGAAGACAGAGAGACGGAGGGGUGAAUUUUAAAUCUGAUUUUAUUUAGCAGUUUGGAAUCUUCCCAUUCAGUGACAUUUAUGGCUUCACGAGGCCCAUAAAUGCAACCACAACUUUUCCAUUUGCUCUCCUGUAAUUAUCACCUUUAAUUAAAUUACAAUAUUCACAAGUUCUGGGUGAUUUUUAGUCCUCGUUUAUUCAUUUUACUGAGCUUGCCCACAAUGCUAAACCUGCUGGUAUUUGUGAAAAUCGGUCAGUUUUUGAUUUAAAGGACAAGAGUUGAGUUAUUCCAUAUUUCUCUUAUAGUCAACAAAUCACGUUAAAAGGACAAAACCUUUAAAAAUGGUGCAGUUUGUUUAACUUGAUGUGUUCUGACAUGCUAAUUUGUGCCGUAGUGAGUGGCCAUUUCUGUGCUAAUUAGCUAAAAGUCUGAAGGCUAGCAUGUUAGCUGUGUUCCGUAAUUAACCCACAUUUAACUUCUUCUGUUGGAGCAAAAACUUCCUUAAAAAAUAAAGAAAUAAUGGAAAGACAACUAUGAGACAGAUACAAAUACUCCUUAACUUUUGAAUCAACCUACUACCAUUAGUAAUCAAGCUAAUAGACAUGCUAAUCGACUGCUAGGUCGCUAACUUUGAGAGAUUUUUACUGCAUCAGUUGCUCCUAUGGAAGCAAUUUGUGUAAAAUUCUGGCAAAUAAUUGCCAAAAGUGAUUAAAGUGUAAAUUUAAAAGAGUUAAGUGAGGUAUUGUGACUGAAUAGUGCUUUUACAUGUCACUUAAUACUAUCUAAAUUUCCAUAGCAUUUAGUCAAAAGCCAUUCUUUUUCUACUGAAGAUAUAUUUAUUGGGUCACAAAGACUUUUUUACCUUUUUAAAAUGCUCAGUAAUUUCCUAAAUAGCUCGGAACUGUAAUUUUUUUUAGCAAACGUUUCAGAAAGCAUCAGAUUUUUGGCAAACAGUUGCGGUUAACCUUCAACAAUGUUGUCACUAAUCAGCAGCAGGGCCAUAUUUUCAUGGUUUGUGGCAAACUUGCAGUGGACUUCUGGCUAGCUUUCUGGACAUCAUUGGCAACAGUCUAAUCCAUAAUGGAGCCCAGCUAACACUGGCCAACAGCCAUUCAUGCUAACGUUUACACCAUUUAACCCUCCUGUUGUCCUCAUUUACAGGCACCAAAAAAUAUUGUUUCCUUGUCUGACAAAAAUCUAAAAAUUCAGCAAAAAAAUUCCCCAAAUUUCAGAAAAUUUGCAAAAGAAAAUUCCAAUAAUUCCUUAAAAGUUUCCCUUAAAAGUUUUAUUUUUAAAAAAUCCCCCAAAUUUGUCAAGAAAAUUCUUGGAAAUAUUUUCAAAAACUGAGUAAAAAUCUUCCAAAAAAAUCCUAAAAAUACCUUAAGUGAUUACAUACAUACCAGUAAAACUUUUAAUGUUUUCUUUAAGAACAUUCACAAAAAAAAUCAAGAUUUUUUUGUGAAUGUUCUUAAGACACAUUUUUAAUAUUUCUUUUUUCCAUCAAAAAAUGUUCAAAAAUUUUCCAAAAAUGUUCAAAAUGUGGACAUCAGAAGUUUCACUGUGAAAAUAUAUUUUAUUCCACAUUUUCAAACUUUAAAACAGAUCAUUUUUGACCCACAGGACGACACGAGGGUUAACCUAACAUGCAUGUCUAUGGACUGUGGGAGUAGGACAAAAAAAAAAAAAAGUCCACCUCUAGUUUGCCACAGAUCUAGUUUUCAUAUGAAAAUAUGGCUGCAAAUUUGCCAAACUGUCGGUCAGAAACCAGUAUUGCCAGAGAUGCCAUGUUUGCCAAUGAUGAACUCAUUAUUAGUUAAGUGGCAAAUUUCUCUUUACUUCCAGAAUGUUGCUGGACAUUUGCCACUCAUGCAAAAAAAAAAAAAAAGAAUUGUAAACGUGACAAAAUUUCAUGGAAAACAAAAGUCUUUGCUGCAAAUCCCCUGCUACUUGACUGUUAACAUCUUGGUUUUGUAAGGGAGGCAUAAAUGCAUUUGCUGGCAGCUAUUUUUAGCUGCGGAUUAGCACACAUUUAGCGCUCUGCUGAGUAUUUAAAGAGCAGGAUGGUGUCUGUGAGAUGGACUAUGAAAAACUACAAUCUUUAUAAAGAAAAAACACGUCACUAAACACAGCAGUGUGCAGUUUUUGGUACAGCGAUGAAGGUUAAUGCACAGUGACUUGACUACUUCCAUACUUCUUGUUGGGAUCAUUAAUGGUUUUGCUCUUUCUGCAUGAUUUGUUGACUGUAAGAAAACUACAGAACAUCACCAGCCUCAUCCUGAGGAAGGUUCAGGCCUGUAAAUUCAUCUUCACAUACAGAGUGCUGUCACUAGACUUUAUGCUUUUUGAGAAGGGGGUGACACUGACCCACUCUUAGACGUGGCCCUGUUGUGAUCCCGGUGCUCCUGGUGCUCUUCAGCACCACCGGUCCUGCCUCCACCUCGCCUUCCUCCUCCUGCACAUCCUCCCCCUGCAGCCUCUCCAUCCUGCCCAGUUCAUGGGGGAAGGAGGUGAAGGUCAGCAUGAAGGUCUCCGACGGAUACUCACACACCUGCUCCAGCUGGUCCUCGUCGAAACACACCUUCCCC
ensembl:lncRNA